UAUGUUAAUGAUGUGUGAUUAGUGGUGGAGCAGCUACUGCUGGUUGCAUCGCUUCCAUGUGACGUCCCCGCUUUUCUUCCUCUGCUGAAAUUCGAGGCUGGUUCCACUCAUCUGAGCCUAUUGCUGCUCUCCACAGAUUUAUAUGACGAACUAGGUACCAGAUGGAAAGAUGGCGCCCGGGUUGCUGCGUGGCUAACUGAGCUAACUGGCUAACAUUAGCUACGGCUGUGGAGCAGAACACCAUGUAGCUGCGUUGAGUUGCAGAGCAGGGAUUUCUGGGCCUUCAGGCGGCAGGCCAGCGACAUGAAGAUGGAGUCGACAUUCUGGCUCUCCCUCGGGUCCUUGGCCGACGUCUCAAACAGCAGCAUGUUGUGGGAGUCAGCGAACUUCAGCGCCAUGUUGGAGGGCACCUGAGAAAGCAUACAUUCUAAUUAAACCUGGAAAGCUAAAUAAAGGUUGAGACUGCUGUGCUGAGAUCUCA